ACCAUAAAAACAGAUGAACUGAAAUUAAUCGGAUAAUUGCAAUAAUCAGAUCUAACGCAUUUACAUGCACUUAAGAAAUGCGAUAAUGAAAAAACCCAGGUUUAGACGCUCACGUCCAUUAUUGGAUUUCUUUCAGAGCACAAAGUGAUGGUGACCUAAACUUCCUGCUGUCUUCCACUCACAUGUGACUAUGGAACUUCCAUUUUCUAUGAUUUUAAUUGUGUU